rnacentral:snoRNA from 1 species
AAACUAUGGUGAGGGCAUUUUCUUAACAAAUCUUUAAAUCUUUCCCAAGCUUCAUACAUGCUUUCUUGAUCAUGAUGAACGAAAGUCGUGAUCUCAUUUCUCAAUUU